UGGGGAAUAUUGCACAAUGGGCGCAAGCCUGAUGCAGCCAUGCCGCGUGUAUGAAGAAGGCCUUCGGGUUGUAAAGUACUUUCAGCGGGGAGGAAGGGAGUAAAGUUAAUACCUUUGCUCAUUGACGUUACCCGCAGAAGAAGCACCGGCUAACUCCGUGCCAGCAGCCGCGGUAAUACGGAGGGUGCAAGCGUUAAUCGGAAUUACUGGGCGUAAAGCGCACGCAGGCGGUUUGUUAAGUCGGAUGUGAAAUCCCCGGGCUCAACCUGGGAACUGCAUCUAAUUCUGGAAAGCUUGAGUCUCGUAGAGGGGGGUAGAAUUCCCGGUGUAGCGGUGAAAUGCGUAGAGAUCUGGCGGAAUACCGGUGGCGAAGGCGGCCCCCUGGAAGAAGUCUGACGCACAGGUGCGAAAGCGUGGGGCGCAAACAGG
rnacentral:rRNA from 1 species